CGCGGCCGCCCCCCCUCCCCGGGGGGUGGUUUUUCCCCCCAGAGGAGGAAAAAACUCCAGUCAGUGAACGUCGCAGUCUGAAAAAACAUUCAAUAAACUAAAACUUUCAACAACGGAUCUCUUGGUUCUGGCAUCGAUGAAGAACGCAGCGAAAUGCGAUAAGUAAUGUGAAUUGCAGAAUUCAGUGAAUCAUCGAAUCUUUGAACGCACAUUGCGCCCCUUGGUAUUCCGAGGGUUUUUUUUGUUCGAGCGUCAUUACAACCCUCAAGCUCUGCUUGGUAUUGGGCACCGCCCUUCUUCCGGCGCGCCUCAAAGACCUCGGCGGUGGCUGUCUUGCCUCAAGCGUAGUAGAAUACACCUCGCUUCGGAGCGCAGGGCGUCGCCCGCCGGACGAACCUUCUGAACUUUUCUCAAGGUUGACCUCGGAUCAGGUAGGGAUACCCGCUGAACUUAAGCAUAUCA
rnacentral:rRNA from 1 species